GAGACAAGCGGGAACGAGCUGGAGUCGACGUUGGCAGCCAGACCACGGGAAAAACGACUCUACAUCGUGCCGUGUGCGCGCUACUCCGGCUACCGCCCUAACAAUUAUCUCUAAUGGGCCGCGAUACUAUAAAUCGACAUAGGCUAGAGGCCGCCCCGAUGAAAUCGGCGCGAAUACCGGGAUGGCAGAAAAUAGAAACCGCUCCGCUACCUCCGUGCAGGCUUGUCCAGGCACACGGGCUCCCGGGUCUCCUCCAUCCGGCUCCCGAGAUGGAAUCCACCAGGUUGUGCAAGUAGCGGCACCUGACUGCAAUGCUGAUGACUCGGCCAGACGAACGGACGGAGACCUCCAGAAGGGGGAGCGAAACGGAGUGAAAGAAAGAAUCGGAUAGACAGCCUGGGCAGAUACGGCGAGUGCGGACGUGUGCGUAUCUACGACCACGUAACAGUGCGGAGAGAUCUGCCGCGGCUAGAUCGUGCUCGGAUGAGGCAGCGUCGCCUCCGUAGGCUGCAGUCCGCUUGGAGUCCGCUACCGCUAACUGAACUUUGAAUGAAAGGGAAUUACGGAGGAAACCUUUGCUUUGAUGUGUAAAUUGGCGUCCAUGGAUUUCGUUCUGGUUAAGUGCAUUGUUUAUUGCUGUCUGUGGUGUAAGAUAGUUUUGGGAUAGAUGCGUAUAUUGGUAACUUUGAAAAAUCCACUGCAGUUGGAUUGGCAUCGAGUUUACUUCCAGCAGGUGACUUUAAGAGCGAAUGGAAAGAUGGAAGAUCGCGGAUAGCAAAGAUGGUUGUAGGGAUAGGUUCGAGGUCUGCGUCGUUGCACGUGGACGUUUCGCAAGUAUUAGAGUUCGCUUCAUUAGGGAGUAGCUAAGGCUACGAUAUUGUAUCAUUGCAACGAUCAUACAUCCUACCUCUUUCUUGUCGAUCUCCCGAGAUACCAUUGAAACAGAAGUAGAUCGCUUCUUGUCUGAUUCAACUUAUCUACUCCAACAUUAAAUGCUCCUUGAUCCCGGAUUACACUCUUACUUCUUCUGGUAUCGAUGGAGUUUGUUCUGUUUCGAAUUGCAGAUCUAGGUACACUAAUAAAAGUCUACGUAACAAGCUUGAUACACGAAAGGCACGUUGUCGUGGACUAAAUCAAGUAAUGUCGUAAACUGCCACCCUUGAACCUAACCUUUCGACACUCCAGUCGACGCCUGGAAUUUAUAGCCACCAAUCCAAGCAACUCGCUACUCGUCCUCUCGUAAGAACCUUUGCGGCAGGAAUUCGUAAGCACCAAUCAGACGUGUCGAGAGUAUCGUCCACGUCGCUCACACACUUCAUGAGUACCCUCUUCAGGAGAAGGAAGAGAUAUGAAACACCAACCAUUGGAUAAACGUCCUCUACGUCUGACGCCCGAUACACAGCCCUGAUGACUAAACGAGUAUCCUUCGUGGCGCACGGGGUACUUUCGUACCAAAUGCACACAGUUAGGUUUCAUCGGGGCUGGAGAUCGUGCGUGUGUCACACGGACGCGCACGGGCGACGGAGGAUUAAAUACUAAACAUUCCAGCCGACUGAUUACUUUACUACCGGCAAUAAAACACCGACAAUUACGCACUGUCACGAUCAACGACAAUGGACGACUCAAUGGAGGGAGCGCGCGGCUUCGCGGAUGAAGAGAUCCGGCCGAUAUGAUCUCGCGAGGCUUCCCCGCGAUCAUAAACGCUGCUCGUAGCCCCAUAGCGCAGUGAUUCUUAACCGUCGUGCUGUUCAAAGGCGAGCUUAUAUCGCACACCGAUGAAUUAAUGAAUUAGUACUCGUGAAAGUAGCAACGGUUAAGAGUCAAGGUUGUUCUUCUAAAAAUAAUAGGAUUGCUCCUAGAAAGUAAAAUUACGAUUAUUCAUAGAAGACAGCUCCUUUCUUCUGUAAGAUAUACGAGAGUAACACUGUAUCAGCAAAAAUCUCCUGUUAGUAUACGAGAUCCUUCAUUAACCUCUUAGGGACGGAUGAAUUUUGCGCCGGGCUGUUUCUUUGUACGGCAAAGAUUAACGCAAAUUACGUGUAAGCCACUACAGUGGCGCGUCGUUCAGAAAGAUGAUAUCCGCAAAAGCUACUUUAGUGGCGCGACGAGCCUAAGGGGUUAAACAAAGUUUCCACCCCCUACAUGAGAUCCACGUCAGGUAUAAAUAUAUUCAACGAGCAUUAAACUUUAAAAAUCACGCAAACUAAUCUGAAUUUAAUAUGUUCAUACCUGAAGAGCCCUUCUUUGACCCGUGGCACGAGCUCGAAAAGGUGAAACACCACUGGCAUAGAGAGCGGUAUCGUCCUCCGCGUCCCGACGCGCGCACAUCCCGCGAGCGGCGCGUCGGCUCGCGGCGGCUGGACCAGGGCAUCAUAAGUCUCGCGCAAUUAUAGUUUCCGUAUUUUCUUAAG